rnacentral:lncRNA from 1 species
GCAGAGAGAGCAAGAACCACUUUCUGGGUUACGCAUGUCUACUGUCUUCAGGAAAAAGAGGACCUUAGAACUGAAGGAGCAAGAUUCCAACAUCACACUGUUUUUGUUAGCUGUGUGUGUGUGUUUCCUGUGUAUCCAAAAGACAGAGGAGAUGAAAAAGCAAAAGAAAAGAAACGAGGAAUCAGAUUGGAAAGAAGGUUUCUCCAGGACGUCACCUGUAUGAGGUACACAGUGUGAUGACACACUCUGUGCUUUUCCUACUUGUGUCCACGUGAGUGUCUGGAGCUGCCCUUCAAGGAGAGCAAUAGAUGAAUGAUUCUGCCUUCCCGCUGAGAGGGAUGUGGGUCCUGCGGAUGGUCGGGGUGAAGCUUCCUCUCCUUUCUGCUGACAGCACUUCCUCAUUAAAUGCAGAGAUCUGCAAAAAGGGAAAAUAAAAACACAAGAAGAAAAA